rnacentral:lncRNA from 1 species
AUGGCUGCCUCGCGGCGGGGGGAGGAAGCGGCGGAUUUCCAGUCGCCGCUGUCAGGGUCUCACCUCCCUCCGCUCCGCUCCCCAGGGCCGAGCGGAGCCCCGAGACGCGGUGCUGCCCGCGGCACUCACCUCCGCCCUCUGCUCGCUGCUGGCUGGGCUGCCCGACUGCUCGCUCGCCGCCGGCGCUGUGCGGGCACGGCCCCCUCCUCCGCGCUAAUGGCAAGAGGAGGAGGGCGGCGGGAGGGCCAAGGCGGAGGGAUGGAUGUUUACUCGGCGGCUCUCGCGAGAGCCCGGCGCCGCCGAACCGAGUUGCGAUUGGCCGCGGCCCCGAGGCCCCACACGGCCGCAGGCAGGUGCUGCGCUCCCGUCCCUGCUCCGUCGUGGCAGCGCGGCACAGCGGCCCCGUUUCUGCCCCCGGCUCCUUGCUUCGGGCUGCGCUCCUGUGAGGCUAUCCAUGUGGAAGUUUCUUUCACAUCCAAUGGGAUCACCUCUGCUGUGGCUGAAGGGCUGAAGUCAAAGGGGCCUGAUAGUGAAGUCUCUAGACCUGCAGGAGCUAUCUCAAUGAACACGGGAUUCUGGAGCAGCCUACAGAGUGGAGAUUCUUGCUUGUAAAGGAUGGCUGUCACCACAGUCAUAGGAGAAUCAAGGAAAAGAAAACAGGCACAAAAGGCAUGGAGACUAACGUGACUGCAGUUGAACAAGCCACAUUCCUUCUACUGUAACCUGAAACACCACACUUCAGGUCACUGCAAAUGCUGAAGAGCUCAAAAAUUUGAAGUCAUCUUUUGACUCCCAGACAAUGGCAAAACUGAGUCAGAAAAAGGAGAGAAUGGUGAUGAAAUCUUGAGGUUUGAUCAAGUGCUUUAAUUAUUUAACUUCCUCUUCCUCCUCCUCCAGUACCCUACAUGGAAUAAUUGAAAGCCUGAAAACUCCACCCUAAAUAUACACUCAGAGAUGCAAUCCCUUUCCUUCCCGGUUCCAUAAGUCCCCUUGGCAGUACCUGAUUGUGACUGCAUAUUGUUGGUAGAUUUCCCCUGUAUUCGUUCCUGUUUGAUAACGAGAAGUUUUCCUAGAGUUUGUGACAGCAACCUGGUCCUCUCUUGAAGGAGCUGCCUCUCAGCCAUCACUGAAGCUGAAGGUUCCCAAACUAACUGCUAACUACUAUGAGCAUUGCAGUAAUAAUUUUCAAAAUUUGCUAAGGAGAGCAACUGAGAACUUAAAUUAUAUAACUAACCUUUUCACUUUUUAUGUACCACAAACCCAUGCUGAAAUAAAACGGUCUAAGCACAAUCUUCA